rnacentral:rRNA from 1 species
AUCGGAUGUAGAAGUGCGGUAACGCAUGGAGCUAACCGAUACUAAUUGCUCUAUUCGCGCUUGAG